GUGAUGGACAGAGCUGCUCUGCUCACUGCCGCCUUUGCUUUCACAG
rnacentral:precursor_RNA from 1 species